AUCCAGACAUCUUCCAGUCCCAGAAGGACUUGCCCUUGGCAAGGAUUACUAGCCUAUGGAGGCAGGAUGGACGCCAUCUCAGUCAAAUUCCUGGAGUAACAGGAAAGGAGGCUGAGAAGACGCCGUUACAGAAAAAACCAGGAGAAUCGCAGAGGUGAGCAGCCCUGGACAAGGGCAGGUGCCCUGGAAAGAUACCGCCUGGCCCCAUGUGCCAGCUGCCCUACCAGGGGCUCCCAGUCCACUGACUGUCUGUCUUCUCUGCCAACAGUUCGGGAUGCCCAUGACUCUUCACAGCCCUCAAAGAAACUGUAAGUGGAGCCAUUCGCUCUGGAGUGUGACAGCCUUCUCUGGUCAACCCCACGAAAUGAGGUCCCACUAAUGCUGUGCUUUGCCUCUUCACAGAUGUCCCAAACACCCGGAGCUGGAUGGUGUGCCUAGACUAACCCAACAGUUCAACACGAUCCUUGAGGACCUCAACAGAUACAUUGAAAUGUACAGCUUCGAGAUUACUGAGUGCACUGAUGACUCCCUCAAUCCCAUCAGUACAACGGAAACCAGCUCCUCUUCAGGGAUGUCUCUGUCCACUGGGAGAAGGAACUCCUGCACUUCUGUCGUCAAAAUGAAAGCCCAUCGCUCUUCGAAGACCUCUCCACCAUCUUGUAGCAAUGUAUCCAUCACUUCUGUUUUGGACAUGGAUCCCUGCUGCUCUUCAAGGGCCUCCUUUUCCACUUGGAGUGACAACUCCCUUGCUGCCGUUGUGGCAACAAACGCCAGUUGCUCUUCAAAGGCCCCACUGAUCCCAUACAAGGACGACUCCCACACUUACACCAGGAUGAUUGAAGGUGCUUCACAGCUGUCACUCACAACUCUUCUGAAUGGAGCAGACAUGGUUCAAGCUUCCACAGUCCAGCCUUGUCUGCUUCCCAGUACUGUCCCAGAGGAGCAGCAUGACAUGGGCACACAUCCACCCUGCACAAAAGAGAAGGCCAGCUGCCACAGGGCCUACAGAGUGAAGCAGCAACAGAAAGAACUCCAGGACCAGCAGGGUGCUCCCACCCCAC
rnacentral:lncRNA from 1 species